GGCAGGAAAUGAGUAAAGAGGAAGGGGGCUGGAAGACAGGCGCAGGCUGGUGCAGGUUUCCGUACCCCAAGGGGGCAGACGCAAUCCCUCUCCUGGCCACCGCAGCCGAACGCGCUCCUUCACUGCAGCCAGUCCCGUCGAGCCGUCCCCACCUUCCCGAUGCGCACUCUCUCCUCAACCCUGCAGGGAAGGCGAAGAAUGGCAAAGGCUCCGCAGUCUCCUGGCCCCGCUCCUCCUCCGGCCUCAAGCGGCCGCCCGAUACGCCGGAACCCUGAACAACGUAGUUUGCGACCUUGUGCGGCGUCUGAGGCGCCAGCGGGGACGUGGCACGGGGCCGCCCGCCCUGGUUCGGGACGUGGCGGGGGAAUUUUACAAGUUCGGACUGGAAGGCAUCGCCGCGGUUCUGCUCGGCUCGCGCUUGGGCUGCCUGGAGGCUCAAGUGCCGCCCGACACGGAGACCUUCAUCCGCGCUGUGGGCUCGGUGUUUGUGUCCACGCUGUUGACCAUGGCGAUGCCCCACUGGCUGCGUCACCUUGUGCCUGGGCCCUGGGGCCGCCUCUGCCGAGACUGGGACCAGAUGUUUGCAUUUGCUCAGAGGCACGUGGAGCGGCGAGAGGCAGAGGCAGCCAUGAGGAACGGAGGACAGCCCGAGAAGGACCUGGAGUCUGGGGCGCACCUGACCCACUUCCUGUUCCGGGAAGAGUUGCCUGCCCAGUCCAUCCUGGGAAAUGUAACAGAGUUGCUAUUGGCGGGAGUGGACACGGUGAGGUUCUCCCUCCGUGCUGUGAGCCGGUUCCAGGGCUUAGCCUCCGCAGACUCCGGGGCCAUUUUUCUGUUGCAGGCGAUCCAUUAUGGCCACGUAGGCCAGCUUGGCUUAGCACCCUGUAGCCCCAGACUCUUCCAUAAUCUGCACCCUCUGCUGGGUUCUCACACCCAACACCUCUCUUGCUUUCACAUGUUUUUCAGGUGUCCA
rnacentral:sRNA from 1 species